rnacentral:misc_RNA from 1 species
AAGCCUGUGACUGAAGCUAACGCACUUUAGAAGAAGGAAAAAGGAAGUUGAUAAACAAGGAAAAGGGGAAGAAGAAAAAAAUGACAGAAUGAAAGGCUUAAUAAAAUUGAGUAUUAUAUGUGUUGCUUUUCCCUCAUUCUCACUCCUCUCCACCUUCAAAACUUCUAGUUUGGAAACAAACAAGUCACGAAUAAUAGAAUUGAGGUUCUCUUGAUAAUUACAUGCUUCUAAGAAAACAUCUGGAGCUGGCAGCAUAUAUGUAUGAGAAGAUCUUAACCAUCCCAGUUAUAUUCAUCUAUCUUUGUUUGCCUCUAGCUUGUUAAUUUUGUACUCCAUUUUUCAUUUUAUUAUCAUGCAUGAUUCACUAGGUAUUCCUGUUUGCUUCACAUCUAGCAAGAAGCAAAACAAUGAGCCAGCGGCUACCAUAACCUGGUCAGGCCAGAGUGCAUCUAUGUCAGUCUAUCGAACAAAAUUAGCCGGCUACUGCCGUUUGAUCACCAUCACAUGGUGCAAGAACCUGAUGCUACAUGGCCUCUCUCUUUCUGUUCAAGCAACAAAUGGAAACGAGAAUUACCUGUGCAAAAUGGAAUUGAAGCCCUGGUACUUCUGGAGAAAACAAGGCUCCAAGCAAUUUGUAGUGGAUGGUAAGACUGUUGAUGUGGCGUGGGACCUCAAGGCCGCAAAAUUCAAUGGCGAGACAGAGCCACAAUCAGAUUACUAUAUUGCUGUUGUCUCUGAAGGGGAAGUAGUUCUACUUCUUGGUGAUCUAAAGAAAGAUGCAUAUAGGAAGACUGGAUGUAGGCCCGCUCUUAUUGAUCCCAUUUUAGUUUCGAGGAAGGAGCACAUGUUUGGCAAGAAGAAGUUUUCUACAAGGAUCAAGUUUCAUGAGAAGGGCAGGGUUCAUGAGAUCUCAAUUGAAUGCAAGAACAGAAGUCCUAAUAAUAGCAAUUCUGCUAAUGGGGUUGAGCCAGAAUUGGAGAUAAGGAUUGAUGGACAUUUGGCAAUUCAUGUGAAGCAUCUUCAAUGGAAGUUCAGAGGUAAUCAGUCCUUUAAUCUUAACAAACUAAGAGUAGAGGUGUGCUGGGAUGUCCAUGAUUGGCUAUUUAGUCCUGGUUUAAGACAUGCUUUGUUUAUCUUUAAGCCAAUAUUGCCAUCCACAUCCCUUUCCUCGCUAUCAACAUCAUCUUCAUCACCACCGUUAUCGUCCUUGACAUCGACACCACUGUCUUCUCAGACUGGAAGCUCAGGUUCAUUAGAGGGACUUAAUGCUGGUGGGUCAUCUGAUUUUUGCUUGUUUCUCUAUGCUUGGAAAGUUGAAUGAUAAAAGAAGAAGAUAUAGCAGCAAAUACGCAUCACCACAUGUAGCAGCAAAUACGCAUCACCAUCAACACCCAAAAGAAUAAGGUUGUAAAAAGAGAUAUGAAGUGUUGAUGUUAUGGGCCAGCAUAUGGAGGUGGUGAGGAUACAGAUUGGGGCGAGAGAGGGACAGGUGAUUAGGAUGAGAAAGGAAGUAGGACCGAAGAGAGAGGUUGGGAGUUAGUUACAGCUGGGGAUGAACAAGUGGGCAUAACUGGACAAGACAGAUUGUAUCACAUACACGACCAAUAAUUUAACAUCUAGAGGCAUCUCUAUCUGUUUUUUCACAAAAUUCUCUUCUUUUGUUUUCCCCUCUCUCUUUCUUGAUCUGGUCUUGAAAUAUGAGCAAUUCACCUUUCACAUUGUACCUAAAUCUACCAAUAUGUAUGCUUCCCACAGUUUAUAUAUAGGAAAAAAAAUUAUAGACAAGGUUUUUUCCACAGGUUGCCCUGAAUGUCUGUAUCGGGCAAAUUAAACAGUGCUGGCUGGUGCAUGUGAUGAUAAGAGUGGGGGGGGCAGGUUGCCCUGAAUGUCUGUAUCGGGCAAAUUAAACAGUGCUGGCUGGUGCAUGUGAUGAUAAGAGUGGGGGGGGCAGGUUGCCCUGAAUGUCUGUAUCCGGCAAAUUAAACAGUGCUGGCUGAUGCAUGUGAUGAUAAGAGUGGGCGGGGGCUUUUCUGUAAUUGGAAUGUGUUAAUUGCC